GACGUGGGGUCCUAGCGUUGUUCGGAAUUAUUGGGCGUAAAGCGUUUGUAGGCUGCUCUUUAAGUCGGGUGUGAAAUCCCAUGGCUCAACCAUGGAAGUGCAUUCGAAACUGCAGAGCUUGAAUAUGGUAGAGGAGAGUAGAAUUCCUGGUGUAGUGGUGAAAUACGUAGAUAUCAGGAGGAAUACCAGUGGCGAAGGCGGCUCUCUGGACCAAUAUUGACGCUGAGAAACGAAAGUGCGGGGAUCAAACAGG
rnacentral:rRNA from 1 species